rnacentral:lncRNA from 1 species
CCUACAAAUUUGUAUUAGUUUUUUCUGUCUUGUAUUAUGUGAGUGUUGAAUUAAUUUAAUUUUGCAGUGAAAGAAAUUUAUAUUUUGUAUCGUACUAUUAUUUUCAGUGAAAGAAAUUGUUUUCAUAUGUAGCUAAUAGUUUUGUAAAAAAAUGGGGUAAAGUAUUUGUAAUUUGAACUCAAGAAAAUUUUAAAAUAGAUGUUUGUAGAAUUUGGUAAUUUCAAAGUCACAAAAGAAUAUUGAAAAAUUAUAUUGGUAACAAAUUACGCAAAAUUGCAAUCAUCUAAAUUUAAAUGCAAAAAUUAAAAGCUUUUAUUUACAUAGAUUCAUGUGAGGGAUAUUUUGGUCUUUUUAUCUCUAUAAUAAUUCACUAUCCUUCUUAUUCCACUUAUUCCAACCAAACACUAUUUUGUUUAUAUCUGGACUAAACUCAAUUCUCAACCAAAUACAAAAUUACUUAACUCCACCAUAACCCUGAACUUAAUCCUAUCUCUAAAAUAACUAGUUCUUACUUAACUCCGAACCAAACGAAGACGGAAGGUUUUUAGUUCUGAAAUGACAAAAGAAGUAAAAAUAGAAAGAGGGGGGUUGGAUGGGGAGCUAUAGGAUUA